CACGGGCAUGCUAGGUCGGUAGUAUGUAGAGAUAAUCGAGGUUUGUGCAUGGAUGAGUGGGUGUGGCGACAGACGAUGCUGAUGAGCAAGCAGCCCACAUGUUUGUGGGUUAGUUCAAGUUGUAAAUUGAAACGGUGUGGUGCUCCGAAUCCUCACCAUGAACUUCAUCAUGCUUCCCCAGCGAUGACCACGUCUGUAAAAAAAAAGGCAUUUGAAUGUCACAGAGAAUUUCUUCUAGAUAAUAAUCUUGUUGUGAAUCGUCCAAAUAGACCAAAAUAGCGCCUCUCCCCGUCGCCACGCUAUCCUAGCAUUGGCGCCUAUCCUUUCAAACUCACAUCUUUAGUUUAAGAUUUCACGAUAAUAAUUGCUGGACAAUGGCAUAUUACAACAAAAAAUACUAAAAAGAUAGCAAAAUGGAACUAACAUGACAUGAUUACGUCAAAUAAGAAUCAAAUUUGACUGAUUCCAUCGACAACAAUAAUAAUUCAGUGCUUUAGAAAAAAAAUUCUUCGAGCAUUUCUUGAUGUAAAGUCAUUAAGGAAACAAUCAAGAUCAACAUAGUUUAAAAUAUCCUUUUGAAUGCAGCACAUAGCCAAGCCAUCCAAUCUAUCUUGUAAAGUACUUAUUCAAAGAACCCUUAAUUAAGUGGUUGAAUUUUUAGAUCACUUUCUUUUUUUCCUUUUUCAGCACCCUACAAAUGCUUCUUAUUAGGCAACAUUGCAGGAUAAUGUCCUAAAAUUAUGAAGAAAAGAGGAUACAAAGAAUUAAAAAUUUAUACAUAAAAUGAUUGGAACCCUAGAUACGUACACACAGACAAAAAAUAUGAUGGUUGAUACGUACCUGUAUGAGGGUACGCACCGUGGUGCGCUCACGGCUCCAGGAUGCCAGAUGACCGGAUUGCCAGACUUCCGCGCGGUGCGUGCAGCGGCGACAACCGGUCGUGGCCGAGGCGCCGAGCCACAGGCAGGCCGACGGUGACCGAGGAGAGGACGAAGAGUCGAAGAGGAACCGACAAGAGGAUGAAGACGAGCGAAAGGCUUGAGAUCUUCGAUUGAGUUGUUUCACAAAGGAAACGAGCCGCCGUGCGCCUGUGCCUCGCAUCAGGCCUGAGUCACGC
rnacentral:lncRNA from 1 species